GUGCAGUUUUCUUAUUUUGAAGAGUCUGAAAUGAAAAAGACUUUUCAGGACUUUACAGACCAGGGAAAGAAAGCUUAAACAGGAGAUCUGGAGAAGACCGUCAGGAAAGACCAUGAAGACCAUGACUGGUCCAGUUUGGCCCUGAAGUGGAAACCAGUCCAAAAUAAACCCAGGUUUUGGUGGUGAGUGUGUGUCUGUCCGGGUCCACAAUGGAGUCCUCCAGGACGUAGACGGCCCGGGCCAUGUGGGUGGGGAAGACGCGCUCUGCCCAGCCUGGCAGCCGGUUGGUCUUGGUCAGCAGUCGCCGUGACAACAGGUGGUUGCUGGGGGUGACCUCGCGGUACAGGACAUCCUCGUAAAGACGGCGACAGUGACGACAGGAUGAGCCUCUGCCCAGGUGACUGAUGCUCACCUGAGGGCGCUGUGAUGGACAGUCUGCAGUGUAAAGAGAGGGGACCACCUGGCAGGCAGCCAAUCACACCGCUCACGCGGCGCGGCGCGGCGCGGCACACCGCCAGGGGCGCCGCCGACAGCAGGAGACACAGCGGAGGGCACGAGCCGACACACACACACACACACACACACACCCUCCCCUCUCCGUUACUGAACAUCAACGUCGCGUGUACCCCCUGCCCCCUCCCUCCCCCUCCUCCCUCUUCACGAGAACGACGCACGUAUCCGUUCAUAACCUCCGCCGUUAUUCAUCACCCCCCCCCCCCCC